CUCAGCGCCUCCAUGCAGCUUGCUGGAGCUCAGGAGCUUUCUCAGCACUGGAUUGGCAUCCUGCCGCUGGACUCAUUGAGUCCUGGGGCGUCGCCUCCGACGGGCUCUGGACGGGUAGAGUGGAAUGAAGUGUUAGCUUAGGAGGUGCAGUGCUAGGACUGGGUAGCGCUGAAGCUGCUGGUGGUCCUGGGCUUCCUGAGGAGCCUGUCUGAGGAAGUCACAGGUGCUGGUAGGGGAAUCCCGGGGGAAAACUGGGGCCCAAACCAGCACUUUGGGACUCCGAGCCGGAAGCCAACAAUAACUGGGAAAAAGUCCAGCCACGCUGAGGCGCUUUACUUUUGGCUGAGAAGAGAAGCAGGAAAGAUGACAAACCAAUGGGAUGUCUGUAGACCUCUGCUGGAACUUUUAGAUCUGGAGGCCAGAAGUUCCAGAUCAAGGUGCCAGCAAGGUUGGUUUCCAGUGAGCAUUUUCUUGUUGGCCUGUAGAUCGCUAUCUUUUCAACUGUGCCCUCAGAUGACCUAAGAUGACCUCAUCUCUGUGGGCCCCCAGAGGGAAGGUAGGGAGAGUGCUUUCAUGUGUUUCCCCCUUAUGAGGACACCAGUCCUAGCAAAUUAGGACUCCUGUGACCUCAUCAAACCUUCAUUACCUCCUUCUAGGCCCUAUCUCCAGAUGCAGUCACACUGGAGAUUAGGAAUUCUGCAUAUGACUUUUGUGGGGACACAAUUCAGUCCAUAAUAAUCAGUACAGGAGAAAAACCAUGGAAUGAAUUCUAGAGGAGUCACACGGUGAUGUUAUAAGGUAAGUGGGUAUAAAAGAGCACCUCUGAAGUCCAAUAGGGCAUUAGAGCUAGAGGCCAACAGGAAAGUCCUGCACGUGCCACAGUUUUGAGUUUGACACAAGUGCAACUCUGAAGUGAAGAUAUUUGGGAGGCCUUGGCCAACCACUACUUCCAGCCAGGGGUGAUUCUGGAGGGAAUAUCUCCCAGAGUGCUGCCUAGAAUCAAGACUUUGGGGUUGGAAAAGUGCCACUCCCAAAGCUGGAGAAGGAUGGUGCUGUAAGUUACUUGAAGAGUACUGUUCUGGGAGAUAGGAGAUCUGGGGUGUCCUCUUUGUUCUGCUGCUGACCAGAUGUGAAAAUGCAGGUUAACUCCCUAACCAUCUCAGUUCUACCACCAUGUGCUGCUGUCAUGUGUCCCAAGCCCCAGAGUUAGUUUUAUCCAUAACCAGAAGCCGGUCUUUUAGUUCCCAAUCUCUUAAUCGGGCCGAUUGUCACAAUAUAUAGCGCACAUGUGACAGCCACUGGGGAGAAGUAAGGGUUCUCUUCCCCUCAGGGAGAGUGGAAAGGCUCUAAGAGAGGGCAGACCACUAGGCCAAAGGCAGCCAGUGCCUGGGAGAGGAGGCACAGGGAAGAGUGUGCUGAUGACAGCCUUGUGGAGGGAGGGCAGAAAGAGCUACCACCAUGAGACUUGCAUCAUAGAUCGAGCCUGAGGACAGAGAAGGGGUCAGGGCACAAUAGAGCAGCAGCUGGCAAAGUGAUUCUGUUGAGCUUAAGCUCAUAGUGCCUUAG
ensembl:lincRNA